rnacentral:rRNA from 1 species
GAUGAACGCUGGCGGCGUGCUUAACACAUGCAAGUCGAACGGGAAUUACUUUAUUGAAACUUCGGUCGAUUUAAUUUAAUUCCAGUGGCGGACGGGUGAGUAACGCGUGGGUAACCUGCCUUAUACAGGGGGAUAACAGUCAGAAAUGGCUGCUAAUACCGCAUAAGCGCACAGAGCUGCAUGGCUCGGUGUGAAAAACUCCGGUGGUAUAAGAUGGACCCGCGUUGGAUUAGCUUGUUGGUGGGGUAACGGCCCACCAAGGCGACGAUCCAUAGCCGGCCUGAGAGGGUGAACGGCCACAUUGGGACUGAGACACGGCCCAGACUCCUACGGGAGGCAGCAGUGGGGAAUAUUGCACAAUGGGGGGAACCCUGAUGCAGCGACGCCGCGUGAAGGAAGAAGUGUCUCGGUAUGUAAACUUCUAUCAGCAGGGAAGAUAGUGACGGUACCUGACUAAGAAGCCCCGGCUAACUACAUGCCAGCCGCCGCGGUAAAAC